AACGAACGCUGGCGGCAGGCUUAACACAUGCAAGUCGAGCGCCCCGCAAGGGGAGCGGCAGACGGGUGAGUAACACGUGGGAACAUACCCAUCUCUGCGGAACAACUCCGGGAAACUGGAGCUAAUACCGCAUACGCCCUUCGGGGGAAAGAUUUAUCGGAGAUGGAUUGGCCCGCGUUGGUUUAGCUAGUUGGUGGGGUAAAGGCCUACCAAGGCGACGAUCCAUAGCUGGUCUGAGAGGAUGAUCAGCCACAUUGGGACUGAGACACGGCCCAACCUCCUGCGGGAGGCAGCAGGGGGGAAUAUUGGACAAUGGGCGCAAGCCUGAUCCAGCCAUGCCGCGUGAGUGAUGAAGGCCUUAGGGUUGUAAAGCUCUUUCACCGAUGAAGAUAAUGACGGUAGUCGGAGAAGAAGCCCCGGCUAACUUCGUGCCAGCAGCCGCCGUAAUAC
rnacentral:rRNA from 1 species